rnacentral:misc_RNA from 1 species
AACCCACUGUGAACCUUACCUCAGUUGCCUCGGCGGGAACGCCCCGGCCGCCUGCCCCCGCGCCGGCGCCGGACCCAGGCGCCCGCCGCAGGGACCCCAAACUCUCUUGCAUUACGCCCAGCGGGCGGAAUUUCUUCUCUGAGUUGCACAAGCAAAAACAAAUGAAUCAAAACUUUCAACAACGGAUCUCUUGGUUCUGGCAUCGAUGAAGAACGCAGCGAAAUGCGAUAAGUAAUGUGAAUUGCAGAAUUCAGUGAAUCAUCGAAUCUUUGAACGCACAUUGCGCCCGCCAGCAUUCUGGCGGGCAUGCCUGUUCGAGCGUCAUUUCAACCCUCGAGCCCCCCCGGGGGCCUCGGUGUUGGGGGACGGCACACCAGCCGCCCCCGAAAUGCAGUGGCGACCCCGCCGCAGCCUCCCCUGCGUAGUAGCACACACCUCGCACCGGAGCGCGGAGGCGGUCACGCCGUAAAACGCCCAACUUUCUUAGAGUUGACCUCGGAUCAGGUAGGAAUACCCGCUGAACUUAAGCAUAUCAAUAAGCGGAGGAA